ACCCGCUGAACUUAAGCAUAUCAAUAAGCGGAGGAAAAGAAACCAACAGGGAUUGCCUCAGUAACGGCGAGUGAAGCGGCAAAAGCUCAAAUUUGAAAUCUGGAGCCUUCGGCUUCCGAGUUGUAAUUUGAAGAGGGUGUUUCGGUUGCAGCCUUGGCCUAAGUUCCUUGGAACAGGACGUCAUGGAGGGUGAGAAUCCCGUACAUGGCUGAAGGCUUGCUUCCAUGUGAAACCCCUUCGAAGAGUCGAGUUGUUUGGGAAUGCAGCUCAAAAUGGGUGGUAAAUUUCAUCUAAAGCUAAAUAUUGGCGGGAGACCGAUAGCGCACAAGUAGAGUGAUCGAAAGAUGAAAAGCACUUUGAAAAGAGAGUUAAACAGUACGUGAAAUUGUUGAAAGGGAAGCGCUUGCAAUCAGACUCGCUUUCGGUUGAUCAGCGACGCCUUCUGGCGCGUGCACUCUGCCGUUUGCGGGCCAGCAUCAGUUGGAGCGGUGGGACAAAGACGGCAGGAAUGUGGCUCCCCUCGGGGAGUGUUAUAGCCUGUCGUGCCAUGCCACCAGCACCGACUGAGGUCCGCGGUUCGCCUAGGAUGCUGGCUUAAUGGUUGUAAGCGACCCGUCUUGAAACACGG
rnacentral:rRNA from 1 species